rnacentral:rRNA from 1 species
UGUGGUUUAAUUCGAAGCAACGCGCAGAACCUUACCAGCUUUUGACAUGUCCGGUUUGAGGAACAGAGAUGUACCUCUUCAGUUCGGCUGGCCGGAACACAGGUGCUGCAUGGCUGUCGUCAGCUCGUGUCGUGAGAUGUUGGGUUAAGUCCCGCAACGAGCGCAACCCUCGCCCCUAGUUGCCAUCAUUAAGUUGGGAACUCUAGGGGGACUGCCGGUGAUAAGCCGCGAGGAAGGUGGGGAUGACGUCAAGUCCUCAUGGCCCUUACAGGCUGGGCUACACACGUGCUACAAUGGCGGUGACAAUGGGCAGCGAAAGAGCGAUCUCGAGCUAAUCCCAAAAAGCCGUCUCAGUUCAGAUUGC